AUUCCGGUUGAUCCUGCCGGAGGCCAUUGCUAUCGGAGUUCGAUUUAGCCAUGCUAGUCGCACGAGUUCACACUCGUGGCGGAUAGCUCAGUAACACGUGGCCAAACUGCCCUAUGGAUCGGGAUAACCUCGGGAAACUGAGGCUAAUCCCGAAUACGGCUCUCUCACUGGAGUGUAGAGAGCUCGAAACGCUCAGGCGCCAUAGGAUGUGGCUGCGGCCGAUUAGGUAGACGGUGGGGUAACGGCCCACCGUGCCGAUAAUCGGUACGGGUUGUGAGAGCAAGAGCCCGGAGAUGGAUUCUGAGACAAGAAUCCAGGCCCUACGGGGCGCAGCAGGCGCGAAAACUUUACACUGCACGACAGUGCGAUAAGGGAACUCCGAGUGCGAGGGCAUAUCGUCCUCGCUUUUCUGAACCGUAAGGUGGUUCAGGAACAAGGGCUGGGCAAGACCGGUGCCAGCCGCCGCGGUAAUACCGGCAGCCCGAGUGAUGGCCGCUAUUAUUGGGCCUAAAGCGUCCGUAGCC
rnacentral:rRNA from 1 species